rnacentral:rRNA from 1 species
UUGGAGGGCAAGUCUGGUGCCAGCAGCCGCGGUAAUUCCAGCUCCAAUAGCGUAUAUUAAAGUUGUUGCAGUUAAAAAGCUCGUAGUUGAAUUUCGGGAUCAAUGUUUCGGUCAUGCCGUUGGUAUGUACUGAUAUUAUUGAUUUCUCACCUUCUAAAGAACGUAAUGCCAUUAAUUUGGUGUCCCGGGAAUUAGGACUUUACCUUGAAAAAAUUAGAGUGUUUAAAGCAGGCUAACGCUUGAAACACAUUAGCAUGGAAUUAAUGAAAUAGGACAUCCGAUUCUAUUUUGUUGGUUUCUAGGAUCGAUGUAAUGAUUAAUAGGGAUAGUUGGGGGCAUUAGUAUUCAAUUGUCAGAGGUGAAAUUCUUGGAUUUAUUGAAGACUAACUACUGCGAAAGCAUUUGCCAAGGAUGUUUUCAUUAAUCAAGAACGAAAGUUAGGGGAUCGAAGACGAUCAGAUACCGUCGUAGUCUUAACCAUAAACUAUGCCGACUAGGGAUCGGAUGAUGUUAAUUUUUUAAUGACUCAUUCGGCGCCUUACGGGAAAC